GGACUCCUUCAGCGCGCUGCCUGCCUGCCCAGGGCCUUCCCGGAGAGCAGGUGACGGCGGCCUCCGGGCAUGGAGCUCGCGCUGACGAAAGGUUCUGGAAGCCGCCGUAAAAAGUAAUCAAGAAACGGGUGACAGGACUUUUCGAACAAGGUCUCACCAUGCUGCCCAAGCUGGUCUGAAAACUCUUGUCCUCAGGCAGUCCUCCCACCUCGGCCUCCCAAAGAUCUGAGAUUACAGGCAUGAGCCACCACACCUGGCCUUGGUUUUAAUUCCUGUCACAGUAUAUUAGUUUUCGCUGUUGUGUAUUGAUUGAUUGAGACAGGGUCUCGCUCUGUUGCCCAGGCUGGAGUGCAGGGGCAUGAUCCCAGCUCACUGCAACCUCCACCUCUUGGAUUCAAGUGAUUCUCCCGUCUCAGCCUCCCGAGUAACAGGAACCACAGGUGUGUGCCAGCACGCCUGGCUAAUUUUUUUUUUUUUUUUCUUGAGGUGGAGUUUCACUGUUGUUGCCCAGGUUGGAGUGCAGUGGCACAAUCUCAGCUCACUGCAACCUCUGCCUCCUGGGUUCAAGUGAUUCUCCUGCUUCAGCCUCACGAGUUGUUGGGAUUACAGGCGCCCGCCACCACGCCCAGGUAAUUUUUGUUUAGUAGAGACGGGGUUUCACCAUGUUGGCCUGGCUGGUCUCGAACUCCUGACCUCAGGUGAUCCACCCACCUCGGCCUCCCAAAGUUGUGGGAUUGCAGGCGUGAGCCACUGCGCCUGGCCUAAUUUUUCAAUUUUUUGGUGGAGAUAGGGUUUCACCAUGUUGGCCAGGCUGGAGUUUUGCCUGUUCUAGAAGCUUGUAUCAGUCAUACAACACCCCUUUGAGGAACCGUUUGAGGUGUGGCACGAUACAGCAAGUCAGCUGCCAAAGAGGGGCUUAGCCACAGGAAGUGCGUGCCCAGAACGGUAAAGGGGCUGUGGCCUUUCUUAUCAUCUCCACUCCCUGUCCCCCCCAUCACCUGCUCUUCGUGCUUUGUGAUAAUUCAGUGAGCUCAUACUCAUGACCUGUGUCCUCCAGCAUCUCCCGUGUCCCUCACAGCAGUUCUAUGAGGCUGGCUGCCCUGUUUGACAACUGAGGCCCGCAUCUUCCCCGGAAUCACCGACGUGUGGCUCUGAGCCCUGUCCCAGGGAUUUUCUCCAUCAGAGAAGAGGAGCACUUUGAGCUUUGAGAGGAGCAGCCCUCUGCAAGUGAAGUGGAAAAAAAGGAAGCAGGCGAGGAGGCCCAUCCAGACCCUCCCCCAAGACCCUUGCUGAAAUGGCUGGGAUGCGGCGUGCAGAAGCUCUCCUUUCCUUCACAGCCCCUGGCUUUCCAAGAGUCCCUGCCCACCCAGAUGCCCGCUGGCAGAUGCAGCCUCAUCUCAAGGACACUGCUUGCUGGAUAAAUCCCUCACCACCCUAGAGACAGCCCACGGUCCUGAGACAAGGAUGCGGGCCAGGCUUGUUGCACGUAAGCGCCUCCCGCAGAAACCAGUGAGGCCGGAGUUCCAGAGGAAAUGAUGUAGGGACAGAGGCAGAGGGCCUCCAGGAGGCACCAGCCCCAGAGUCUUCCCUAGAAUCAGACUUUAAGCACAAGCAGGGAGGGAAAGCACUUGAGCAGUGCCCGUCCCUGCAUACCUGGCCUCUGCUGGAACCCAUGCAGGGACAGGACACUUCUUUAUCAGCAAUCCUGUUCCUCUCCUGGGCAGCUUCAACCUGAACAUCCUCCUUCACCUUGAGCUAAAAUGGGUUUCUUGUCACCCUUGCCCAUCAAACCUGGCCUUGCCCUCAGGAACCACACAGGACAAGCCUAAUACUUCCUUCUUGUGGCAACACUUUAGCAAUUGAGACCUGGCUGUCAGGUCCUCCAAAUAAACAUUUGUGACUGUGAUGUUGACUUGCCGCUUCUGGGGACCUCUUCUCAUUUGAUCGGAGAAAGUUUUUCAGGGUUAAACCUACUUCUUUCCCCCAAGAAACUCUUCUUGUCAGGCUCACGCCUAUAAUCCUGGCACUUUGGGAGGCCAAGGCAGGAGGAUUGUUUGAGACCAGCCUGGGCAACGUAGGUAGACUAUGUUGCU
rnacentral:lncRNA from 10 species